AUGCAUGAUCCUAGGAGUGGACACUUAGAGGCUGUCUAUCGAAUCCUCCGAUAUCUGAAGGGUAAUCCAGGAAGGGGGCUAUGGUUUAAGAAGAAUGGGCAUCUUAAUAUAGAUGGAUACUGUGAUGCAGACUGGGGAAGUUGUUUGGAUGACAGAAGAUCAACUUCUGGUUAUUGUGUGUUUGUUGGGGGAAACUUGGUGUCAUGGCGAAGUAAGAAGCAGCCAGUGGUGUCCAAAUCAACAGCUGAAGCUGAAUAUAGAGCUAUUUCACAAGGCUUGAGUGAGAUGUUAUGGGUAAGAAAUCUUCUCUCUGAGUUAAAGGUAAUAAGGAAGGAUCCCCUAAGGUUAUGGUGUGAUAAUAAAUCAGCUAUCAGCAUUGCUAAUAAUCCAGUUCAGCAUGACAGAACCAAGCAUGUCGAGAUAGACCGCUUCUUCAUCAAGGAGAAGUUAGAUGAUGGCAUAAUCAGGAUAAGUUAUGUGAGCUCUAGAGAACAAGUGGCUGAUUGUUUAACUAAGGGUUUAAGUGUCAAGGAGUGUAAUUCUGCGUGUGACAAGAUGGGAAUGAUAGAUAUCUAUCACCCAUCUUGA
rnacentral:rRNA from 1 species